rnacentral:snRNA from 1 species
ACUUGUUCCAACACAUUUCACUGGUGCAAUGGAAUGAUACAGAGAAGAUUAGCAUGGCCCCUGCACAAGGAUGACAUGCAAAUUCGUGAAGCAUUUUUUAGAUUA